GUGUUGGAUGAUUAGUGAUUUAAAAUCAUGAUUGAAAUGCUAACAGAUAAAUACUAAUAUAGUCCAAUUAAAUAUUAGGUUUUUAUUAAUUAAAUUAAUCAUGUUGGGAAAUAAAUCUUCAAAAGUAACUCUCCUGAAUCCUUUGGCUUUAGCCGUAAGGACUGCUUCUGGACAAGCUGCACAUUCUAGGAUUAGCGGGUCUCUGGUCCCUGACACUUCCCGCAUGGCCAACCAAUGUCGGUAUUA
rnacentral:misc_RNA from 1 species